UCCGUAGGUGGAUUAAUAAGUCAGAGGUGAAAUCCUGCAGCUCAACUGUAGAACUGCCUUUGAAACUGUUAAUCUUGAGUCAUUAUGAAGUGGUUAGAAUGUGUAGUGUAGCGGUGAAAUGCAUAGAUAUUACACAGAAUACCGAUUGCGAAGGCAGAUCACUAAUAAUGUACUGACACUGAGGGACGAAAGCGUGGGGAGCGAACAGGAUUAGAUACCCUGGUAGUCC
rnacentral:rRNA from 1 species